rnacentral:tRNA from 3 species
GGAGGGAUGGCCGAGUGGCUAAAGGCGGCGCCCUGCUAAGGCGUUGGACUUCGCGUCCACGUGGGUUCGAAUCCCACUCCCUCCG